rnacentral:lncRNA from 13 species
GGCCACAUGCACAAGUCCCUUUCUUCAGCAGUGGGGAGAAGGUCAGUGCUUGGAGGGAGGGAGUGUGGUACAGCCUACAGCCUGUUUACAGAACCCCUGCUCUGUCUCCAGGCACUGGAAUGUGAUGCAGGAGCCCUGCUGCGACUCUGACAGGUUUAGGGCUGUCUGAUGAAGUGUGCAUCCCUUAUUUGCAUGCGUUUGGAAGAGGAGGAGGAAGAAGAAGAAAAGAGGAGAAGGCAAAGGAGAUCCUGGGAUGGUAAGAAUCCUGACAUCUAACGACGUUUUUUGUGCCAUGGGCCAUUUUAGCAUGCUGAUACAUAACUCUUUCUGAGAAUAAUGCUUUUAAAUGCAUAAAAUACAAUAUACAGGAUAACAAAGGAACAUGGUUAUCAAAAGACUUUAAAAAUCAAAUUUGUGACACAUACAUAUAUGUACGUCUCCAUCAAUGCGUUCAACAAGAACUAACAUUGGAUCUGGUCACUACUGCGAUUUGGAAGUCAUGAUGAAUGCAGACAAUAUUGAAAAGAUUGCUGUAACAACUGCAAGGUGAUAGGAAACAUACGUGAUUGCUGCUGGCUGCAGAGUCAUAGGUACAGCUAACACCACUGUGGCUUGCUAUCUUUAUUCUUACUGUAAGGAAAUGAA